rnacentral:rRNA from 1 species
UGAACGCUGGCGGUGUGCCUAAUACAUGCAAGUCGAACGAGGAGCCUUUUUAUUUGUAUUCGUACUCGUAAAGAGGAUUUCCUAGUGGCGAACGGGUGAGUAUCGCGUUGGUGACCUGCCCCAAAGAGAGGAAUAACAGUUCGAAAGAACUGCUAAUACCUCAUGUUGUCAUGGUUUUUAGAAACCCAUGUCUAAAGGAGACUUGUCUUCGCUUUGGGAGGGGCCUGCGUCCCAUCAGCUAGUUGGUAAGGUAACGGCUUACCAAGGCAACGACGGGUAGGGGACCUGAGAGGGUGGCCCCCCACAAUGGAACUGAAACACGGUCCAUACACCUACGGGUGGCAGCAGUAGGGAAUAUUGCACAAUGGGCGAAAGCCUGAUGCAGCAACACCGCGUGUGCGAUGAAGGCCUUCGGGUCGUAAAGCACUUUUUGAGAGGAUGAGAAAGGACAGUACUCUCAGAAUAAGUCUCGGCUAACUAC